GAUGAACGCUGGCGGCGUGCCUAAUACAUGCAAGUCGAGCGAACAGACGAGGAGCUUGCUCCUCUGACGUUAGCGGCGGACGGGUGAGUAACACGUGGAUAACCUACCUAUAAGACUGGGAUAACUUCGGGAAACCGGAGCUAAUACCGGAUAAUAUAUUGAACCGCAUGGUUCAAUAGUGAAAGACGGUUUUGCUGUCACUUAUAGAUGGAUCCGCGCCGCAUUAGCUAGUUGGUAAGGUAACGGCUUACCAAGGCAACGAUGCGUAGCCGACCUGAGAGGGGGACCGCCAACACUGAAACUGGAACCCGGUCCAACCCCCACGGGGGGGCGGCGGAAGGAAACCUCCGCAAUGGGGCGAAGCCCUGCCGGAGCAACGCGGGGGAGUGAAUAAGGGUCUUCGAUUCGUAAACCUUUGUAAUUAGGAAGAACAAAUGUGUAAGUAACUAUGCACGUCUUGACGGUACCUAAUCAGAAAGCCACGGCUAACUACGUG
rnacentral:rRNA from 1 species